CGUCACUGCACUCCAGCCUGAGGGACAGAGCAAGACUCUGUCUCAAAAAAAAAAGAAAAAAAAGUGGCACAGAUCAAUUAUAAAUCACUGCUUCAAGGCCAGUGCUCUCACUUUGUACAUUAAUAAUCUCAGGCCCAAAUAAGAUAAGUGAUAUGUCAACGUAUGUUCACUUUGGUCUUUACAUGGCAGCUAUAGUAUACGGAAUAUUAUAAGCUCAGAUCGUCAUAGCUACAUAACUCCUUUAGUUGGAAGAUCACGCGUAAAUGCCCAUCAAGAGCUAGCAGUUCUGCAUUUGACUCUUGAAGACCGUGGCAUGGCAGACAACACUUCUUGAGCUGUAACAGGUGGACAUUAAAUCCAUGACAGGAGGUAGAGACGGCCAGAUUACUUGAGCCCAAGAGUUUGAGACCAGCCUAGGCAACAUGGUGAGACCUCAUCUCUACUGAAAAAGGAGGAUAAUCCAACUCUCUUCUACUUCACAUUAAUCAGAAUCAUCUGACUCAUCAGAAUCAUCUGUUUUGGAAAAUUCAGAUUCAUCAAAUUAGUCUUCGGCCAACUGAGAACAAUGUUAACAUCACCUUUAGGAAUGUUAUGCAGGCCAAGAAUAAAAUCUUUAUGAACUAACAAGAUGAAUUAAAGAUGGAAUGAUUCAUUUCUAUGGUUAGGUUUUAAUUAAUACAUGGGGGAUGAUUUUGGCACUUUUUCAAAGAAUUUGUUUCUGUGUAUCUGAAUUUGCACCUACUCUGUAACCUAACUGCGAUUUAUAAAAUGAAACAAUCUCUUCUAAUUUGGCACUUGAUAGGUGCUUUGACUUUAAAAGGCAAGUGUAUUUUUCUGUCACGAAUAUCUUGUCAUUCUAAAAUAAGUAAAAACAAUGGAUUGAUGAAACUUCUUCACUGCUUUUUUCUUUGUGUAUAACAAAUACAUUGAUAUUUUACUGGCAUAAAAUGUGUAUUUUAGUUGAGUCUUUAAAUUAUUGCUCAGUGUAUUUUGUUUAUUUUAAGCCAUUAUUACUUCCUUUAUGUUGGAUUUGGAUAGUUUAGAUUGUAAGCUUCUAAAGGGCAAAUAAUACAUCUUUUCAACUGUGGUCUUGACUAGCAGUCCCAAACCUUUUUGACACCAAGGACCAGUUUCAUGGAAGAAAAUUUUUCCAUGGACAGGG
rnacentral:lncRNA from 1 species